GUGAUCGAUUCCCAGUGCCAUCCUGAACCACGAGAUUGGAAUAUCGCACCUUUCAACUGCCUGGGCUGAUAAACAAUACAGCAUGUACUCAGCUUCAUAAACACUCUGCCUUGUUACAAAGGGCACUGCAAACUCGCUGUGAUAGGACUUGACCUUAAAAGCUAUAGACAAUCUAGCGGAGCACAGACGGUUUCAUAAAGUACAAUCACUUCCUGGAAUUCUUGGGCCAGUGCAGUCGGAGCCGUGCAAAUCCUGUUUUCCUUGCAUUGUUUCCUGCAUGUGAAUAUCAUCAGUCUAGCACUCUUGCUCUGUCACCAGGCUGGAGUGCAGUGGGGCAAUCUCGGCUCACUGCAACCUCUGCCUCCCGCAUUCAAGCGAUUCUCCUGCCUCAGUGUCCUGAGUAGCUGGGACUAGAGGUGCCCGCCACCAUGCGCUGAUCAUUUCUGUCUUUUUAGUAGAGACCAUGUUCACCAUGUUGGCCAGACUGGUCUCGAUCUCUUGACCUCAUGAUCUGCUGGCCUCGGCCUCCCAAAGUGCUGGGAUUAUAGGCGUGAGCCACUGUGCCUGGCCCAUCGAACUUUUUAAUAUAGAUUGUAUGAUGUUUUCAUUAAAAAAACUGGGCUCAGAAAGGCUGUAUAAAGCCACACAGUCAGCAAGCAGCAGAGUCUGCAUUUUAAUCCAGACAUUCAUGGCUUCAAAGCAAUGUUAUUUAACUCUAACAAUGCAAUUGAACUAACAACUGACAUCAGACACAAAUAUUCUGAAGAACCUGGAGAAAUAGAAAAGAAUUGGAUAGAACUCAUGGGCAGAAGCUGUCCAUCAGGGAGAGGAAAUAAAUGGCAUUGUUCAGCCAUGAAGCCAUAUAACUUCAACCUGACUUUUCUUCUCUAUUGUCCUAUGUCAUUGUCUAGCUUGUAAUGUGGUCACAAUCAUGUCACAUGGCUGACUUCCUGCAUAUUUGGUUUCCUCAUGGGAGUUUAGUAAUUCCUGAUUGAUUUAGAGCAAUAAAAUAAACUAAAAUAAAUUCUAUUUUUU